rnacentral:rRNA from 1 species
AGAGUUUGAUCCUGGCUCAGAUUGAACGCUGGCGGCAGGCCUAACACAUGCAAGUCGAGCGGAUGAGUGGAGCUUGCUCCAUGAUUCAGCGGCGGACGGGUGAGUAAUGCCUAGGAAUCUGCCUGGUAGUGGGGGACAACGUUUCGAAAGGAACGCUAAUACCGCAUACGUCCUACGGGAGAAAGCAGGGGACCUUCGGGCCUUGCGCUAUCAGAUGAGCCUAGGUCGGAUUAGCUAGUUGGUGAGGUAAAGGCUCACCAAGGCGACGAUCCGUAACUGGUCUGAGAGGAUGAUCAGUCACACUGGAACUGAGACACGGUCCAGACUCCUACGGGAGGCAGCAGUGGGGAAUAUUGGACAAUGGGCGAAAGCCUGAUCCAGCCAUGCCGCGUGUGUGAAGAAGGUCUUCGGAUUGUAAAGCACUUUAAGUUGGGAGGAAAGGGCAGUAAGUUAAUACCUUGCUGUUUUGACGUUACCGACAGAAUAAGCACCGGCUAACUUCGUGCCAGCAGCCGCGGUAAUACGAAGGAAGUGCAAGCGUUAAUCGGAAUUACUGAACGUAAAGCGCGCGUAGGUGGUUCAGCAAGUUGGAUGUGAAAGCCCCGGGCUCAACCUGGGAACUGCAUCCAAAACUACUGAGCUAGAGU